CCUACGGGACGCAGCAGUGGGGGAUAUUGCACAAUGGGGGAAACCCUGAUGCAGCGACGCCGCGUGGGUGAAGAAGCGCCUCGGCGCGUAAAGCCCUGUCAGCAGGGAAGAAAAUGACGGUACCUGAAGAAGAAGCCCCGGCUAACUACGUGCCAGCAGCCGCGGUAAUACGUAGGGAGCGAGCGUUGUCCGGAUUUACUGGGUGUAAAGGGUGCGUAGGCGGCUUGGCAAGUCAGUAGUGAAAUCCAUGGGCUUAACCCAUGAACUGCUAUUGAAACUGUCGAGCUUGAGUGAAGUAGAGGUAG
rnacentral:rRNA from 1 species